CCUACGGGAGGCAGCAGUGGGGAAUUUUGGACAAUGGGGGAAACCCUGAUCCAGCAAUGCCGCGUGUGCGAAGAAGGCCUUCGGGUUGUAAAGCUCUUUUGUCAGGGAAGAAACGGGAGUGGCUAAUAUCCAUUCUUAAUGACGGUACCUGAAGAAUAAGCACCGGCUAACUACGUGCCAGCAGCCGCGGUAAUACGUAGGGUGCAAGCGUUAAUCGGAAUUACUGGGCGUAAAGCGUGCGCAGGCGGUUUUGUAAGUCUGACGUGAAAUCCCCGGGCUUAACCUGGGAAUUGCGUUGGAGACUGCAAGGCUGGAGUCUGGCAGAGGGGGGUAGAAUUCCACGUGUAGCAGUGAAAUGCGUAGAGAUGUGGAGGAACACCGAUGGCGAAGGCAGCCCCCUGGGUCAAGACUGACGCUCAUGCACGAAAGCGUGGGGAGCAAACAGGAUUAGAUACCCUGGUAGUCCACGCCCUAAACGAUGUCUACUAGUUGUCGGGUCUUAAUUGACUUGGUAACGCAGCUAACGCGUGAAGUAGACCGCCUGGGGAGUACGGUCGCAAGAUUAAAACUCAAAGGA
rnacentral:rRNA from 1 species